rnacentral:rRNA from 1 species
UUCCGGUUGAUCCUGCCGGACCUGACUGCUAUCGGAUUGAUACUAAGCCAUGCGAGUCAUUGUAGCAAUACAAGGCAGACGGCUCAGUAACGCGUAGUCAACCUACCCUAUGGACGGGGAUAACCUCGGGAAACUGAGAAUAAUACCCGAUAGAACAUUAUACCUGGAAUGGUUUAUGUUUCAAAUAAUUUAUUGCCGUAGGAUGGGACUGCGGCCUAUCAGUUCGUUGGUGAGGUAAUGGCCCACCAAGACUAUUACAGGUACGGGCUCUGAGAGGAGUAGCCUGGAGAUGGGUACUGAGACACGGACCCAGGCCCUAUGGGGCGCAGCAGGCGAGAAAACUUUGCAAUGUGCGAAAGCACGACAAGGUUAAUCCGAGUGGUUUCUGCUAAAGGAACCUUUUGUUAGUCAUAGAACCACUAAUGAAUAAGGGGUGGGCAAGUUCUGGUGUCAGCCGCCGCGGUAAAACCAGCACCUCAAGUGGUCAGGAUGAUUAUUGGGCCUAAAGCAUCCGUAGCCUGCUUUGUUAGUUUUCGGUUAAAUCGAUACGCUCAACGUAUGGGCUGCCGGGAAUACUGCAAAGCUAGGGAGUGGGAGAGGUAGACGGUACUCGGUAGGAAGGGGUAAAAUCCUUUGAUCUAUUGAUGACCACCUGUGGCGAAGGCGGUCUACCAGAACACGUCCGACGGUGAGGGAUGAAAGCUGGGGGAGCAAACCGGAUUAGAUACCCGGGUAGUCCCAGCUGUAAACUAUGCAAACUCGGUGAUGCAUUGGCUUGAUGCCAAUGCAGUGCCGCAGGGAAGCCGUUAAGUUUGCCGCCUGGGAAGUACGUACGCAAGUAUGAAACUUAAAGGAAUUGGCGGGGGAGCACCACAAGGGGUGAAGCCUGCGGUUCAAUUGGAGUCAACGCCGGAA